rnacentral:lncRNA from 1 species
CACAUCAAUACUAAUGUGGAGUAGAUUAAAAGAUGAUUUUAUGGUAAAAGUACGUCCAGGGCUGAGAUGAGGUUUGGAAACAGCUCUGAGGACUGACAGAACUCCAGGGUGAGGGAGUGAAAAAGCUUGUUCCUUCCCUGCCAGGAAUUGUGAAGGACUGUGAUGGUUUUGCUGUGAAACUUGUGGGGAUGGUGUAAGGAAGAGAGUCUGAGCACCCACUAGAGGGAAAGAGACAGAGGGCAGGAAAAUGAGGUAAUUUCCAUUCAGAGGCUGAUAAAGGUUUGGAGAGGUACAUGUUGUCCCUGGGCAACAACUGUGAUUUUGGCCAACCAAUGCUUGCUGAAACCAAAUUUAACCAAAAGCCUGAAAGAGAGAGUUUGGUCCUUUAAAGUAAAGGCAUCUUAGUGACAGCUGGUGAGCUUGCAUGUGACUGUAUAUUUAUCCCUAUGGCCCUUUAAUUUAAAAUGUUCUUCCAUAAAGUCAGAACAAACAGAGCAUUUUUGUUGUAGCAUGCUUGAUUCCUAAACUGACUUUCUUUCCAAAGCAGGUGUGUGGAAAUAAUGAGUGUUGUCAUCAACAUGAAGGAAGUAGCCAGAAGAAAAAUCCUUCAGCUCCCAGCUGGGUGAGUGGGAAAGGUGGAAGGCAGACUCAGCCAGGGGGCCUUAUGGAAGCUGAAUUAGAAGAACACAGCGUUUUUGGUUUUGCCAAGGUGCAAAAGCCCACGAGAAGCAGUGGAAAGUUGUGUUGACCUCGACCACUCCAAAGUUUGGAUCUUCCCUUUGUAUGGAAAGCUGUGCUUCUGCCUCAAUCCUGCUGGCAGCAAAAAAACCUUGCUCCAGUUCUCCCUGCAGAACUGUUUGGUGCACAGACUUUAACAAACGAGUCCCUCA